rnacentral:rRNA from 1 species
CUACGGGGUGCUCCAGUGGGGAAUAUUGCACAAUGGGCGCAAGCCUGAUGCAGCCAUGCCGCGUGUAUGAAGAAGGCCUUCGGGUUGUAAAGUACUUUCAGCGGGGAGGAAGGGAGUAAAGUUAAUACCUUUGCUCAUUGACGUUACCCGCAGAAGAAGCACCGGCUAACUCCGUGCCAGCAGCCGCGGUAAUACGGAGGGUGCAAGCGUUAAUCGGAAUUACUGGGCGUAAAGCGCACGCAGGCGGGUUGUUAAGUCAGAUGUGAAAUCCCCGGGCUCAACCUGGGAACUGCAUCGGAUACUGGCAAGCUCGAGUCUCGUAGAGGGGGGUAGAAUUCCAGGUGUAGCGGUGAAAUGCGUAGAGAUCUGGAGGAAUACCGGUGGCGAGGGCGGCCCCCUGGACGAAGACUGACGCUCAGGUGCGAAAGCGUGGGGAGCAAACAGGAUUAGAUACCCGCGUAGUC